CACAAGCGGUGGAGCAUGUGGUUAAUUCGAAGCAACGCGAAGACCUUACAGGUCUUGACAUCCCGAUGCUAUUCUAGAGAUAGAAAGUUACUUCGGUACAUCGGUGACAGGUGUGGCAUGGUUGUCGUCAGCUCGUGUCGUGAGAUGUUGGGUUAAGUCCCGCAACGAGCGCAACCCCUAUUGUUAGUUGCCAUCAUUCAGUUGGGCACUCUAGCGAGACUGCCGGUAAUAAACCGGAGGAAGGUGGGGAUGACGUCAAAUCAUCAUGCCCCUUAUGACCUGGGCUACACACGUGCUACAAUGGUUGGUACAACGAGUUGCGAGUCGGUGACGGCGAGCUAAUCUCUUAAAGCCAAUCUCAGUUCGGAUUGUAGGCCGCAACUCGCCUACAUGAAGUCGGAAUCGCUAGUAAUCGCGGAUCAGCACGCCCGCGGUCCGAAUACGUUCCGGGCCUU
rnacentral:rRNA from 1 species